UACGUAGGGUGCAAGCGUUGUCCGGAAUUAUUGGGCGUAAAGAGCUCGUAGGCGGCUGUCGCGUCUGCUGUGAAAACCCGGGGCUCAACCCCGGGCUUGCAGUGGAUACGGGCAGACUAGAGUUCGGUAGGGGAGACUGGAAUUCCUGGUGUAGCGGUGAAAUGCGCAGAUAUCAGGAGGAACACCGGUGGCGAAGGCGGGUCUCUGGGCCGAUACUGACGCUGAGGAGCGAAAGCGUGGGGAGCGAACAGG
rnacentral:rRNA from 1 species